GUUCACAUUGGCUUUUAUAAUAGUCGGAGAAUCAUUUGCAUAAGAUGCGUUGACAGCCGUCUUGUUUCUUUGUUGUUUUACUUGACCUCAGUUCAAUUAUUGAUCCCCACUCGAGUAAAAUUAUGCUAAAAUAUCACGUGAUUGAAACCCAAGUCCUCUUUUAGCAUCUCCCCAACCACACCCCCCAACCCCCAGUUACUGCCUUCUCCUCAGGCCCAAUAAAGUCUAGGGAGCGGUUUUUCAAAAGCCGGUUAGGGUUAGUGUUAAUGUGAAAUUCAAAGCAUAUUUCCCAGCAGCUUGUUCACAAACUUGGAGAUAUGUUUUGCAGAAAUCUUAUCUGGA